rnacentral:rRNA from 1 species
CAGCCGUAAACUAUGCGCGUUAGGUGUAUCGGUGACCACGAGUUACCGAGGUGCCGAAGGGAAACCGUGAAACGUGCCGCCUGGGGAGUACGGUCGCAAGGCUGAAACUUAAAGGAAUUGGCGGGGGAGCACCACAACAGGUGGAGCCUGCGGUUUAAUUGGACUCAACGCCGGGAAGCUCACCGGAUAGGACAGCAGAAUGAUUGCCGGGCUGAAGACCCUGCAUGACUAGCUGAGAGGAGGUGCAUGGCGUAGACGUCU